UUGUGAUUGGUUACAAAUUUUAAUAUAAUGACAGUACAAUCAUCCUCCCAAGAAGAGCAUGGCCCCUGCGCUAGAAUGACAUGCAAAAUCGUGAAGCGUUCUACAUUUUU